AAAGUACUCACUCCGUCUCGAAAUGUUUGUCGGAGAAAUUGAUGUAUCUAUAUAUAUUUUAGUUUUAAAUACACUCAUUUUUAUCUAUUUCUGCGACAAGUAAUUUCGGGCGAAGGGAGUACGUG
rnacentral:pre_miRNA from 1 species